rnacentral:rRNA from 1 species
UACGUAGGGGGCUAGCGUUGUCCGGAAUCAUUGGGUGUAAAGCGCGCGUAGGCGGCCCGGUAAGUCCGCUGUGAAAGUCAAAGGCUCAACCUUUGAAUGUCAGCGGGUACUGCCGGGCUAGAGUCCGGAAGAGGCGAGUGGAAUUCCUGGUGUAGCGGUGGAAUGCGCAGAUAUCAGGAGGAACACCAAUUGCGAAGGCAGCUCGCUGGGACGUAACUGACGCUGAGACGCGAAAGCGUGGGGAGCAAACAGG